AGUUUGAUCCUGGCUCAGAUUGAACGCUGGCGGCAGGCCUAACACAUGCAAGUCGAGCGGAUGAAGAGAGCUUGCUCUCUGAUUCAGCGGCGGACGGGUGAGUAAUGCCUAGGAAUCUGCCUGGUAGUGGGGGACAACGUUUCGAAAGGAACGCUAAUACCGCAUACGUCCUACGGGAGAAAGCAGGGGACCUUCGGGCCUUGCGCUAUCAGAUGAGCCUAGGUCGGAUUAGCUAGUUGGUGAGGUAAUGGCUCACCAAGGCGACGAUCCGUAACUGGUCUGAGAGGAUGAUCAGUCACACUGGAACUGAGACACGGUCCAGACUCCUACGGGAGGCAGCAGUGGGGAAUAUUGGACAAUGGGCGAAAGCCUGAUCCAGCCAUGCCGCGUGUGUGAAGAAGGUCUUCGGAUUGUAAAGCACUUUAAGUGGGGAGGAAGGGUAGUAGAUUAAU
rnacentral:rRNA from 1 species